CCUACGGGGAGCAGCAGUGAGGAAUAUUGGUCAAUGGGCGAAAGUCUGAACCAGCCAAGUAGCGUGAAGGAUGACUGCCCUCUGGGUUGUAAACUUCUUUUAUAUGGGAAUAAACUGUUCCACGUGUGGGAUUUUGUAUGUACCGUAUGAAUAAGGAUCGGCUAACUCCGUGCCAGCAGCCGCGGUAAUACGGAGGAUCCGAGCGUUAUCCGGAUUUAUUGGGUUUAAAGGGAGCGUAGGUGGAUUGUUAAGUCAGUUGUGAAAGUUUGCGGCUCAACCGUAACAUUGCAGUUGAAACUGGCAGUCUUGAGUACAGUAGAGGUGGGCGGAAUUCGUGGUGUAGCGGUGAAAUGCUUAGAUAUCACGAAGAACUCCGAUUGCGAAGGCAGCUUACUGGACUGCAACUGACACUGAGGCUCGAAAGUGUGGGUAUCAAACAGGAUUAGAUACCCGGGUAGUC
rnacentral:rRNA from 1 species